rnacentral:tRNA from 1 species
AGCGGGGUAGAGUAGGUGGUCAACUCAACGGCUUCAUAAGCCGAAUAUGUGGGUUCGAUUCCCACCCCCGCAACCA